rnacentral:tRNA from 1 species
GAGGGACCGGAUUUCACAUCUGGGCAGGUCGCAGGCUAAAGUUCUUCUUGUUCGCGGCGCCGCCGGGGAAAAC